GCUAAAUUGCCUCUAGAAGAACUUUGUAACAGCAUGCUAGGGAUUUUGUAUGUAAGCCUGUCUGAAUAUGCAGAUGAGUCCCAGAAAAUUGUCCCAUGGCUUGAAGACUAAUGGGACGUAGCUGUGGAUAGCCCUUUAGACACAAGAAGACAACAGUGCUUGAUUUUAAUAUAAUUCAGAUUGUCUUCAGCUGUAUUUUUCCCUCCUGUGGUUCCAAACUGUCACAGAUGGAAGGACAUUUCAGACUGUGGAGUUUCCUUCAAACAAUCCAUAUAUCUGAUUUUCUACCAGUAACAGCCAGACUGAAGGGGAAGGAUGGAAACUAUAGUAUGUUCUAGCAUAUGUUCACAUGGACACAGCUGUUAACAGAAGUGAAAAGGAAUUAAACAAUAUCAGUGACUGGAAGUGGGAUUGUGAAAUAAUCCUCACCACAAUUAACAGCCUGGGACAACUGUAAAUUUUUCCAGCAAAGAAAAAGGCGACAAAACAAGAAGAAAUUGGCUUCAUAAAAAUCCUUAUGGUAGCCUUAGUUCUCAGUUGUUUAAAUCACUGAAAUUUUGAUGAGAGAAUGGAGAUGUCACAAAACGUUGGGGAUCAGGAGACUUAUGGAUCGUCAUUCUUGUAGCAGCACCUGAAAUGAUGGGGUCUCCUUCAGAGCUACAUGAUGGUGCAGCUUUGCCAGUGGACUGGGAGAAGAUGGCACCUGAAGUGCAUUUCAUGUUCCAGUUGGGAGAAAAUUCAGAACAGAGAAGAAAGGAAUGCAAGUAUACAUCUUUCAAAUCUGACACUGAUGAGUUAUUUAAAUCAAUACUUGCCUGUCAAAAAUUAAAUUCAUGAGGGAACUUUUAAGAACACGUUCUGCCAAAUGAGAGGACCUAUAGCUGCUAUCAUCCUUCAAGAAUGACACUUGAAUUUUAUCUAAUUGUAAUACUUCCAUGUUUAAUUACUAAGUGUAACAUCACAUGCUCAUCGACAAAUAAAG
ensembl:lncRNA